rnacentral:rRNA from 1 species
UACGAAGGGGGCUAGCGUUGCUCGGAAUCACUGGGCGUAAAGCGCGCGUAGGCGGCUUUUUAAGUCAGAGGUGAAAUCCUGGAGCUCAACUCCAGAACUGCCUUUGAUACUGGAGAGCUUGAGUCCGGGAGAGGUGAGUGGAACUGCGAGUGUAGAGGUGAAAUUCGUAGAUAUUCGCAAGAACACCAGUGGCGAAGGCGGCUCACUGGCCCGGUACUGACGCUGAGGUGCGAAAGCGUGGGGAGCAAACAGGG